UGGGGAAUCUUGGACAAUGGGCGCAAGCCUGAUCCAGCCAUGCCGCGUGAGCGAUGAAGGCCUUAGGGUUGUAAAGCUCUUUCACCGGUGAAGAUAAUGACGGUAGCCGGAGAAGAAGCCCCGGCUAACUCCGUGCCAGCAGCCGCGGUAAUACGGAGGGGGCUAGCGUUGUUCGGAAUUACUGGGCGUAAAGCGCGCGUAGGCGGACUGAUCAGUCAGGGGUGAAAUCCCGGGGCUCAACCCCGGAACUGCCUUUGAUACUGUCAGUCUUGAGUCCGGAAGAGGCGAGUGGAAUACCGAGUGUAGAGGUGAAAUUCGUAGAUAUUUUGGGAGGAACACCAGUGGCGAAGGCGGCUCACUGGCUCGAUACUGACGCUGAGGUGCGAAAGUGUGGGGAGCAAACAGGAUUAGAUACCCUGGUAGUCCACACCGUAAACGAUGAAUGCCAGUCGUCGGGUAGCAUGCUAUUCGGUGACACACCUAACGGAUUAAGCAUUCCGCCUGGGAGUACGGUCGCAAGAUUAAAAGCUCAAAUG
rnacentral:rRNA from 1 species